rnacentral:RNase_P_RNA from 3 species
GAAAGCAUUCGUCUUAUCGCCUUUGUGAAAGCAGGGGAGGAAAGUCUGGACAACACAGAGCAUCAUGCUUCCUAACGGGAAGGUACGUUUUUGGAGACGAAACCGUAACAGCAAGUGCCACAGAAAAUAACCGCCCGUAAGGGUAAGGGUGAAAAGGUAGUGUAAGAGACUACCGCUCGGUUGGUGACAAACGAGGCAUCGGUAAACCUCAUGAGUUGAAAGACCAAAUAGGCUGGCAAGCGGCGUUGGUAACAACAAAGUAAAGGACGGCUCGUUCGUGUCAGUGGGUAGGUUGAUAGAGGUAGUAGGCGACUACUAUUCGAGAUAAAUGAUAAGACUUUUGGAUAUUUCUGCAAAGAAAAAUUCAAUCGACAGAAUCCGGCUUAUAGAAUGUUAUCUAAA